AUUGAACGCUGGCGGCAUGCCUUACACAUGCAAGUCGAACGGUAACAGGCCGCAAGGUGCUGACGAGUGGCGAACGGGUGAGUAAUGUAUCGGAACGUGCCCAGUCGUGGGGGAUAACUGCUCGAAAGAGCAGCUAAUACCGCAUACGACCUGAGGGUGAAAGCGGGGGAUCGCAAGACCUCGCGCGAUUGGAGCGGCCGAUAUCAGAUUAGGUAGUUGGUGGGGUAAAGGCCCACCAAGCCAACGAUCUGUAGCUGGUCUGAGAGGACGACCAGCCACACUGGGACUGAGACACGGCCCAGACUCCUACGGGAGGCAGCAGUGGGGAAUUUUGGACAAUGGACGCAAGUCUGAUCCAGCCAUGCCGCGUGCGGGAAGAAGGCCUC
rnacentral:rRNA from 1 species